AUUGAACGCUGGCGGCAUGCCUUACACAUGCAAGUCGAACGGUAACGGACCUUCGGGUGCCGACGAGUGGCGAACGGGUGAGUAAUGUAUCGGAACGUACCUUUCAGUGGGGGAUAACGUAGCGAAAGUUACGCUAAUACCGCAUAUUCUGUGAGCAGGAAAGCAGGGGAUCGCAAGACCUUGCGCUGAUUGAGCGGCCGAUAUCAGAUUAGCUAGUUGGUGAGGUAAAGGCUCACCAAGGCGACGAUCUGUAGCGGGUCUGAGAGGAUGAUCCGCCACACUGGAACUGAGACACGGUCCAGACUCCUACGGGAGGCAACAGUGGGGAAUUUUGGACAAUGGGGGCAACCCUGAUCCAGCCAUGCCGCGUGAGUGAAGAAGGCCUUCGGGUUGUAAAGCUCUUUCGGCCGGGAAGAAAUCGCGUUGGCUAAUACCCAGCGUGGAUGACGGUACCGGAAUAAGAAGCACCGGCUAACUCCGUGCCAGCAGCCGCCGUAACAC
rnacentral:rRNA from 1 species